rnacentral:rRNA from 1 species
GACGUAGGUGGCGAACGUUAUCCGGAAUUAUUGGGCGUAAAGGGUGCGUAGGCGGCAUGACAAGUUAUUGGUGGUAAAUCGAGGCUCAACCUCGUGGAAACUAGUAAUACUGUUUUGCUUGAGUACAGGAGAGGUUAAUGGAACUCCAUGUGGAGCGGUAAAAUGUGUAGAUAUAUGGAAGAACACCAAUAAUGGCGAAGGCAAUUAACUAUUCUGUUACUGACGUUGAGGCACGAAAGCGUGGGGAGCAAAACGG